UACAAGUGUGACAUCAGCGGUCAUGGAGAGUCUCCAUCCAGCUGGAUCACUGUCACAGGGGAACACACCACCACACCUCCACCUACAUCCACACCUCCACCUACCUCUGUAUCACUCUCUCCUGUCAUUCUCUCUGUGUUUUCCUCUUUUGGAUCAGUCUGUGUUGUGGUUCUACUGGUGUUACUGGUUCUGCUGGUGAGACGAUGUGUUCAUAGGAAACCUGAAGCCAUUGAUACAGCUGUGGUGUACUCAGCAGUGAGAACUGAAGAUGUCACCUAUGGACAAAUAGCCAUCAAACCAAAGAAGACCAGAG